GAUUCAGAGUCGGGAGUAUAAGAGAAAGAUAAUACAGUAAAGAGAGAGAGAGAGUUAUGGGCUGACCACCAAUCUUUACGGCGGAUUGACGGUGGCGCAACGGCGGUGACAUCACAAUCCGGCGUGUACGCUUCAACAACUCGCUAACCGCAGGACGAGGGUUCCGCCGCAAACACAACCAUAGCGGCGAGUAUGGUUGUUCUUCCGUGACAUUGGAAGCCAAUCCAGCCAAACGAAAUACGUAUUCUAACGAACGAGGUAUUUUUAUUCCGAGUGUGGACAGAUACAAUGAAGACAACGAGCAUCAUGAGCGCUCAAACACAAGACCACUGCUUGAGCGAAUGUCGCCAAACAUACCAGCUUAAAUACAUGUGCUUCAGUUUUGUUAUGGGUGUGGAAGUGCAUAUAUAAACACUCACAUGUGUGCUUCCGUUUAACGUUUUUGUUAGUAGCAAGUUGUUUGCUAAUAAAUUCGGAAAAUCAUUUGGACAACCAUUCGGACAGGUGAAGCAGAUAAAACUCAAAGGACAAAGCGCACUCACUAUGAACAAACGAGUACAAGACAUCCUCCUACACCUUCAAAUUUUUGCAUUACAACCUUUUUGUUUUAGAUAUUCCUUUAUAGAAGGUAUAAAAAAUGCUUAAACGAUGGCCCAUGUUGUUGCAUAUAUAAAAAUUGUAGCUACUGUAACUAAACAUUAGCAAUCUAACAGAACUGAAAUACCCCGCCGCACCGCGGCGGGUCAUCCUCUCUCUAGUAUAAUAACAAUUGCUGAAAGUCCUUAGGAACAGUUCCCGUUCCCAAGUUUCACAUGACCGACAUCUGCCGGUCUUCAACAUACCGCUGAAAACACAAGCCCAUCGUCCUUUUACGUUUUCAGAUUUGCUCAAUCAGGCGGCGUUGGCGGUGCUACUAUUGCGGCAGAAACUAGGAUUAUGUAGUUGAAGGCGGUGAUGGUGGUUGCCGGCAUCAAAGCAGGUUGACGGCCAUGGGUACAGAAGAGGACUGAGGCAAAUAAGAAAUCGCUCCUCUGCGGUGACUUCUCCACCACCGACAUCAACUCUCAACUUGAAAUCAUUUGCCGUCGACAUCAACUCUCGACUUCAAAUCGCCUUUUUGCGUAGACUUGACCACCAUUAACAUCAAAAUUGGUAAUCGUUUCUUUUCGUUUGUGCUCUUCACAAUCUUUCCAGCCGGUUCAGUUUUUACCUUUGCAUUUUUUCUUCUUUAAAUAAUUUGUUGAUCCAGAGGUUUCUCUUAUUGGGUUGAAUUGUUGUUCACCAGGUUUAAUUUUUAGGUUUCGUAGAUUGUUUAGGGUUUAGAAUUUAAAAACAUUUUGUGAUUGCUUUUAAAGAAUAAUCAUUGGGUAUAUGUAAAUGGCUGAAGAUACAGGUUGACCUUUAACUUACAAAUUCAACAUAAUGGGUUGAAAUUGAAGGCCAAUUUUUUAA